UGCUGUAGUUGUAGACCGAAUCUUCUCGUCUCAGAAAGGAUUUGGAGAUCUAUUCUGGGAAAAAUCCAUCAUAAAAAUCUCAGCACAGUGAUAUCGAGGUGUAAGGAUAGGUCUGGAUCUAGGGCUGAGAGCAACCAACACCUACGUUCUUCGCUCUUGAAGAAGGCACACAUGGAUGUAGGGUGCAGUUUGUACCUGGGGAUGGAUUCUCCCCUCCUCAUUCCCUAGCUCUAGCAACUGGAGCUUACAUUUCGGAUCCUGAAGGGAAAAGGCCAUGAGGAAGCACGCUCAGUCCUUCACAGCACAGACUGAAGACAGCUGCAGGCAGACGACCUAGGGAUAUUGUAACAGAUGCGUCCCUGGCAAAUUCUUUGAAGGGAAGCCAGUUUGCUGUGGACCAGAUGCCCAGGGUCAAGCAGAAGGAAGAGGCCAAGAGAAUGCAAGGUUGUGGUAUCGGCGAUCUGUUCUCUAGAACACCAGGACGCAAGCGAUUCUACUCAGUAACUGACAGCAGCAACCCCAUACAGAUGACAACCCAAAAUAUCUCCAGAUAUCCAGGAUCAAAUAGUUAAUGCCAAAUAUCUACUGGGAGCAGAGGCCCAUGCACACAGGUGGAGAAGGCAGAGAGGUGGAAAUGGAGAAAGGUGAACUGAAAACUCCCAUCCAGGAAUAAUAAUUUCCAACUCUGUGGAUUCAGUGGACAUGGAAGUACUUUACAAGGAGAAAAGGAAAGAAUUCUUCUCUGGAGAAACUGUUCCCAGAUUGGAGUUGGAGAUGCAACAGAAAAUUUAGAGGACACAUUGAAAACCCUCUUGAGAGAGGAGCAGAAAAGGAGACAAGAAGACAACAACCAUUAUAUGAAAAUCUGAGACUAAAGCCUGGGAGUCUGAGAUUCAGGAGGAAGAAACAGAGAAAAUGGUUGAAAGUGAAGAUAUGAAAGAUGAUACAAAAAAAACAAAAACAAAAAACAAAAAACAAACAAACACAAGGCGAAAGCAAAGGACAAGCUCCCAGAUUGCAGGAGCCAUCAGCAGCCCAGCACGAUGACACCAAGGAGGUACAACUGAGUCACUUUGAAAACACGACAUUAGACUUGGCAUCACUGGGCCCACAGGUAAUUUUGAAAGUGUCAGAAAAGAAUUGAAUGGGAGGGCUUAGUGUGUAAGAGGUUGGGCACAUGAAAUGUCACUGUCUUACCGUUACCAUGUGCACCCCAACCCUGCAGUCCAAUCGUGAUAGGAAACUGGUCCAAAAAGUCUCGAGGCGCUUGAGAGGGGAAGUAUUGUCAACAAAGUCAGUUCAUAGGUUUUUAAUAUGUUAAGUCUGGACCUUUGGAAUCUUCCUUGAGUUUACUGAGUUGUGAAGAAACAGAUACCAUCUGUGGGGCUGGGGUUCUCUCUCCGUUGUUUGCCUUAGAAGCAUGAGGGCUUGAGUUCAAUCUCCCAGAAGCACUGCCUCCCCCCAACACACACCCUUUUUUAAAAGCCAGCUAUAGUAGUGUGCUUGUAAUCUCAGUCCUGGGGACAAAAGAUGGCAGACUGCUGGGGCUCAUUGUCCAACUAACCUAAUCUAGUUAGCUAGUGCCAAGUCAAUGCCAUAUUGGUUAAAAAAAAUACGACAGAUGGCAGCCAGGGUUGUCCUUUAUCCUCCACAGAAUAGAACAUAUCUGCACACACACACACA
rnacentral:sRNA from 1 species